GCGGAGGGCCGGAUGGCCGCGGUCCCGGAGAAGAUCCGGGGGCGAGGAAAGUCCGGACUCCACAAGGCAACGGUGCCGGGUAACGCCCGGCCGGGGCAACCCGAGGGAAAGCGCCACAGAAAAGAAACCGCCCGCGCGUGUCGUAGGCAAGGGUGAAACGGUGGGGUAAGAGCCCACCGCGGGACGGGCAACCGGACCGGCACGGCAAGCCCCACCGGGAGCAAUGCCAAAUAGGGACCGCACGCGGGGGCUGGUCCGGGAUCACGGUCCCGCGAUACCGCCCGCAGGCACGUCUUGGCCCGGCGGUCCGGGUUGGCAGCUGGAGGCGCGCUGGUGACAGAGCGUCAAGAGGAAUGGUCAUCCAUCCCGUUCCCCGGAGCGGGAGGACAGAAUCCGGCUUACAGGCUCUCCGCGCGU
rnacentral:RNase_P_RNA from 1 species